rnacentral:lncRNA from 1 species
UUGGCGUCGACGUAGUUUGUAAUCCCUCGCCAGUUCUUGCUUUGAGUCGUCGUUCACCGAACUUCUUUUGUCUUCCGUCUUGUUCGUUGCCGACGUAAUUUGAAGGUUCCUGAUCGUCGCCGUGUCGAUUUGCCCUUAGGGACUAGAGAUUUUCGACAAGGAUUUUCUCUCUCGUCGAGACAAGGUCUCUUGUGCCUUUGAUGUAGUUCGUUUUUCACCUAUCGCCAGUGUAGUUCGUCGCUUUCUCUUUUCGUCUCCCCUUUUCUUCUGUGUUUGAGUGAGGGUCUUCCCUCUGCUCUUGACGGGGUCGUGAGAGUGUAGAGGAGUCAUUGAGGAAGCUUUCCUCCUUGUCGAUCAACCGAGUCUUUGUUUGCGUCGAGAUGAGGUCCUCCCCUUGUUCCCGACAGUCGGUUUCAGCUCGUGUCAGGACGAGGUUCUCCUCCUGUUCCUAACAAAGCUGUGGGGGCACAUAAGGGCCGUUGUGAGGGCCUCUCCCCCCAUCCGGUCUUUAGAAAAUCGGGCCUUCGACUUUGCUCAUGUUAGGACGAGGUUCUCCUCCUAUUCCUAACAAGGCUAUGGGGGCACAUAAAAGUCGUUGUAAGGGCCUCUCCCUCCAUCCGGUCUUUAAGAAACCGGACCUUCGGCUUUGCUCAUGUUAGGACGAGGUUCUCCUCCUGUUUCUAACAAGGC